GCACUUUUGUGGUGUGCAAAAA
rnacentral:miRNA from 1 species